CAGGGAUUGCCCUAGUAACGGCGAGUGAAGCGGCAACAGCUCAAAUUUGAAAUCUGGCUCUCUUUGGGGGUCCGAGUUGUAAUUUGCAGAGGAUGCUUUGGCAUUGGCGGCGGUCUAAGUUCCUUGGAACAGGACAUCACAGAGGGUGAGAAUCCCGUACGUGGUCGCCUGCCUUUGCCGUGUAAAGCUCCUUCGACGAGUCGAGUUGUUUGGGAAUGCAGCUCUAAAUGGGAGGUAAAUUUCUUCUAAAGCUAAAUACUGGCCAGAGACCGAUAGCGCACAAGUAGAGUGAUCGAAAGAUGAAAAGUACUUUGGAAAGAGAGUCAAAAAGCACGUGAAAUUGUUGAAAGGGAAGCGCUUGCAGCCAGACUUGCCCGCAGUUGCUCACCUAGGCUUUCGCCUGGGGCACUCUUCUGCGGGCAGGCCAGCAUCAGUUUGGGCGGUUGGAUAAAGGCCUCUGUCACGUAUCUCCCUUCGGGGUGACCUUAUAGGGGAGGCGUAAUGCAACCAGCCCGGACUGAGGUCCGCGCAUCUGCUAGGAUGCUGGCGUAAUGGCUGUAAGCGGCCCGUCUUGAAACACGGACCAAGGAGUCUAACAUCUAUGCGAGUGUUUGGGUGUCAAGCCCGAGCGCGUAAUGAAAGUGAACGGAGGUGGGAACCUUUUAGGUGCACCAUCGACCGAUCCUGAUGUCUUCGGAUGGAUUUGAGUAAGAGCAUAGCUGUUGGGACCCGAAAGAUGGUGAACUAUGCUUGAAUAGGGUGAAGCCAGAGGAAACUCUGGUGGAGGCUCGCAGCGGUUCUGACGUGCAAAUCGAUCGUCAAAUUUGGGCAUAGGGG
rnacentral:rRNA from 1 species